rnacentral:lncRNA from 1 species
UUUUUUUCUUUUUGGUAUGUAGGAUUUCACGAAGUGUUGAUCUCCCUUUUCUUUGCAUCUCGCUUUUACCUUAGACACAUUUUUGCAUCUUUCAACAAAUUCAAUAUGCUUUUACUGUUAGCAAUUAAGACACAUAGUUACAUGAUUUUAAAUAGACAUAUUUUCACAUCCAGUAUGCUUUUACUGUUAGCAAUUAAGACACAUAUUACAGGAUUUUAAAGCUUAAUGAACUUUAAUUUAUCCACAAAAGGUAUAACAAGAGCAUAUUUCCACCUCAUAUGUAAGGUUAAAGUGUCAUAUAUUAAAUUCACUAAACUUGGCACUAAAGUUUUUGUAAAAUUGAGUCCUAUAACAUGGGAAAUUUCCUUUUUUUAAUACAAUUUUAUUUUUUUGGUGGGAUUUUUCUUAUUAAAGAGCUUAUAAUGAAAAACAUUGCUCCAGGAAAAAAAGCCCCCAAUUGGAAUACACAAUUAGCAAGUAAUCUGCUGAAGAUAUGUGAUCUGAUAUUAUGGAAAGAUUUGAUAUUGUAAAUAUUAUGAAAGAUUUGAUUAUAGUAUCAUAUAUUAAUUAGGUAGUAGAUUGAUUCAGAUUAGCAUGAUUUUAGAAUCUAAAUUAGGUUACACUUGUGUAUAUAUAUUUGUAUAUUUUGUAGUCCAAAGAUAUGAAGAAGAGUAUUUUCUCUCCCUUUUUCUUAGUUUUCAUGGUAUCAGAGCUUCAGGCUCUGUUAUCAGUUUGUCUUUUUGACGUGACCCUAUUAAGUCACUUUUAGGUCUUUCUUGUGUGAAUUAUAAUGGCAGAUAUAUAACAGUUUGUCUUUUGACGUGACCCUAUUGAGUCACUUUUAGGUCUUUCUUGUGUGAAUUAUAAUGGCAGAUAUGAAAGGUAGUAGUAGAGAGAUGAAAACAGCAAUUUUUUAUGUUAUUCCUACAACAUCAAAAAUUACUGAACACAAAUUGAGUGGAAAAAAUUUUUUAGAUUGGAGUAAAACUAUUCGGAUAUAUCUGCGCAGCAUCGAUAGAGAUGAUCAUCUCACUAAUGACCCACCCAUUGAUGGGGAAGAAAAGAAGGUUUGGCUAAGGGAAGAUGCAAAACCAUUUUUCAAGUGGAGAGAACAAAGCAUAUCGAAAUUGAUUGCCACUUUGUUCGUGUAAAAAAUCCAGCAAAACUUGAUCUCAACCAGUCAUGUGAGAACUGGAGAACAGUUACCUCACUCCAUUCUUUUUCCUCAUGAACCUGUGUUUAAAUUACCUCCUCGUAUUUUUAGAUGUAUAUGUUUUGUUCAUCAGCUUGCUCCCGGGAUAGAUAAAUUAGAUCCUCGUGCCAUUAAGUGUAUUUUCUUAGGAUACGCACGAGCGCAAAAAGGAUAUGGAUGUUACAGUCCAAUUUUAAAUCGAUUUUUUACUUGUGUUGAUGUUACUUUAUUUGAAUCCACUCCAUAUUUUAUGAAAUACAGUAUGUCUUGUGAGUUAGAUCAGUGUCCCUCUUUUUUCUCUCCUGUUUUACCAGUCCCUUCCUCUUUAUUACAUGAGUUAUCUAGUCCACCAGAUUCCAUAGCUCGAUUAUCUCAUCCUAACCUUCAAGUUUAUUCUCAUCGUUCCAUGGUUGAGAAAGCUCCUGAUAUGCCACGCACUUCACCAAUUAACUCUCAAUCUUCAAAUCCAGGUAUGAUACCCUCCUCUGAGUUAGAUCUUCCUAUUGCUUUACGCAAAGGUAAGAGACAUUGUACUUCUCAUGCUAUUUCUAAUUUUGUUUCUUAUUCUCGUCUCUCUAUGUCAUAUUCUUCUUUUGUUGCUUCACUUGAUUCUGUCUCCAUUCCUAAGUCUAUUACCCAUGCUCUUAAUCAUCCUGGUUGGAGAUUAGCUAUACAAGAAGAGAUGUCUGCUUUGGAACAAAAUGAUACUUGGGAUCUUGUCUCUCUUCCUUCUGGUAAGCCUGUUGUUGGUUAUAAAUGGGUAUACACUAUAAAAGUACAGCCUAAUGGUUCUAUUGAUCGAUUGAAAGCUCGCCUGAUAGCUAAAGGAUUUACUCAAGUGUAUGGAAUAGACUACUUAGAAACAUUUUCUCUUGUUGCAAAGAUUACCUCGGUUCGUCUUCUUAUCGCUUUGGCAGCAACUUAUAAUUGGUCAUUGCAUCAGUUGGAUGUGAAAAAUGCAUUUUUACAUGGAGAUUUGGAAGAAGAGAUAUAUAUGGAACAACCUCCUGACUUUAUUGUUCAGGGGGAGAAUUUGCGGUUGGUUUGUCAUCUGAAAAAAUUCUUAUAUGGGUUGAAACAGUCUCUUAGGGCUUGGUUUGGCCGGUUUAGUAGUGUUGUCAUGGAGUUCGGUCUAACAAGAUGUAGAGUAGAUCACUCUGUAUUUUAUCGACAUUCUAAUGCUGGUAAGAUUUUAUUAGUUGUUUAUGUGAAUGAUAUUGUGAUUACAGGUGAUGAUGUUGUGAAAAUCCAGAAACUUAAAUCCAAUCUGCAAGCAAACUUUCAGACAAAGAUUUAGGUCAUUUACAGUAUUUUCUGGGUAUUGAGAUAGUUCGAUCUAAAUAUGAGAUUUAUUUAUGUCAAAGAAAAUAUAUACUCGAUAUGCUGAGCGAAAUUGGGAUGUUAGGUUGCCAACCUGUGGAUACUCCUAUGGAUCCUAAUGUGAAAGUAUUUGGAGAUUAAGGUGCAUUACUAGAUGAUCCUAGGCAAUAUCGAAGAUUUGUGGGUAAAUUAAAUUAUCUCACUGUAACGAGACCUGACAUUUCGUUUGCAGUGAGUGUCGUGAGUCAAUUUCUUGAGGCCUCUCGUACUAGUCAUUGGGAUGCUGUUAUACGGAUUCUCAUAUAUCUUAAGAGUACUCCUGGAAAAGGGUUGUUAUAUCAAAAUCAUGGAUAUACUGAUAUUGAAGGAUACAGUGAUGCAGAUUAGGCUGGUUCUACCUCAAAUCGAAAAUCGACCACAGGAUAUUGUGUGUUUGUUGGUGGUAAUUUAGUGUCGUGAAAGCGUAAGAAGCAAACAGUUGUUUUCAGAUCAAAUGCAGAAUCUGAAUACCGCGCUAUGGCUCACCCUGUGUGUGAGUUGGUUUGGUUGAAGAGCAUGUCACUUGAAAUUGGGUUUGAGUAUAAACAGCAUAUGAAUUUAGUGUGUGAUAAUCAGACAACUGUUCAUAUUGCAUUUAAUCCAGUGUUUCAUGAAAGGAUAAAACAUAUUGAAGUUGAUUGUCAUUUCAUUCAAGAGAAAUUGAUUGAUGGAGAAGUGUUAAGAGAAUAUAAGUAUUCUUGUAGAUAAUAAAUUAGUAAGGAUAUUCUUGUAAAUAGUUUGUUAGGUUUGUACUCCUAUAAAUACUAGUUGGUCACUCAUAAUACGGUGACUAGAUAUUUUCCUCCCAAAAUACCUAUUGUCAAAAAUGAUCCAAAUUAAAUCAAAUGCUUAGAAGGGAAAUUGGAACCUCGAAAAGCUCUCCCAAACAUCUUGAAGCAUUAUCCUGGUGGAUCAGAAAUCGAAAUAAAUUAUACGUAAAAUCAACAAAUAUUUAAGAUACUAAAGAGGAUUUUGUAAAACAGAUUUGCAAAAGUGGCAAUAGAAGAGAAUCAGAUGAAAGCCAAGUUAAUUAACCAGCAUGUGAUUUUCAUUGACGAGGAUAACUACUAAAGAGAUAAUCAGACAGAUUUGACUAUACAAAACAACUUGAUGUGUAGCCACCACCAAUUCAUAGUAUGCAGAAUAAUACUGAGGAAAUCUCCCAGAAGCACCACCAACAGACGUCUGCACAGCAUCUAACAAAAGAAAUAUUUUCUCUCGUGCUGGCAGGUCCAACUGUAGAACAUCAAGGACACAAAAUUAACUUAAGCAAAAACUGAAUAAACAAGAAAUUGGGUUUUGGCUCAGAGAAAGGACAAACCUUUUUCUUUACUAUCUUUACAAGUACAGGAAGGACUCCUGCGUCUAUAACCUGCUUAUGGACUGGUCUCCAAUAUUGUUCAUCAGCAUCUCCAGCAACUGAAAUACUAAAAAUUAUUAAUCGUUCUGACUAUUUAAAAAAGAUUUAGUACCUGAUCAUUUGAAGUACUAAAUUCCAAGAAAGCAUAGCAGAAAAAGGACUAGAGAUCAAUCAAAAACAUAAACCUUAGACUGUAAACUGCAUGAUCAAUAAGUCAUGCAGAAACCAACCCGUUUUGACGGUGCAAUACUAAUAUUCCAAUAUCAGAUUAAUAAUAGUUCUUUGAAAUAAUGCCGACAAAAGAUUAAAGCCAUGAAAAUUCCCACAUUCAUCAUUCGUAUAGGGAGGGGGGCCAGGAAACAGCCCGGGUAAUAGAUGCCCUCAAACAAGUUUCAUGUAAUUAAAAAUUCUUUUUUGCAGGCAGAAACUUAAAUCUAAUGGAGUAGUUGUGUAUGAAAUAGUUUCAACCCAUUAAAUAGGAAGCAUUACGUUAGAUAGAAGAACAACACGGGAGAUGAAGCAUGCACUUAUUCCUGUUGUAUAAAUAUCUGCUUGUCUUUCAGUUGAGGACCACCAUGUUUUCCAGAUGUUGAACAAGUACCAAAUGAAUCAUGGUUCGGUCACCAUAAACAAAUCAAUGAGUGUCCAUAAUGGAAAAUAAUUAUAGCAUGUUAAAUUAGACCAGUCAUGUAUAGCUCAAACACAUCCAUUUGUACGUUGGUAUCCAGUAAAAUAUUAAAACUAACAAAAAGAAGAAGACAUCUCAAUAGAUAUACAAUCACUAUUUCCCGUUCUUCAUUACAUAAAUCCAUAUGAAAUUCUGCUACAACUUCCAGUGAGUAAAAAAUUUUGCUUGGUGUACCACCUAAUUUGAAAGCUUAUUCAUUUAUAAUAAGAGAAAACAUGUAGUUUUGUUACAUGAUUUUGAACCUAGAAGAUGCUCACCAUUACAGCUAGUAGUUGGGUGUUAGCAUUUUUGCUUCCCAAGCAUUUCUUAACAGCUUUGAUUACAUCUCUAGCUUUUCUGUGAAACAGGAAUACAAAAAUAAAUCUUGGAUGAGAACUAAAAAUUUCAAUAAAUGCACAAGCAACAAAGAAGCACAAGAGUUAAUUAAGCCAUUCACUGUAUGCAACCUGUGCUAUCUUUCCAGCAAUCGAGACAAGACCUUAUAAAGAACAAAAUUUUACUGAAACCAAUCUUAGAACUAUGCAAGUUCUUUGUUAACAUGCAUAGAGAGACAGAGAGACCAAAAAAUGUUAAUUAUCUGCUAUAUAAAGGUAUCUGAAAAUGGUUAUACCUGUGGUCACAUGCAACUAAUUAGCAAAUUUCAAUGUUUUUCAUCCAAUCCAUCUCAGAGAGUUUCUCACUUGUUGCAGCGUUGACAAGGUCAGUAGCCAUUUUUCUUUCCAAGGGCUGAUAGUAAUGUGGAAAAAGUAGUAAGAAUCUACAUUCAAUUCUAGAACACAAUUAAGCAGAUUAUGCUAGAAGGUUGCACAGAACAAAUACUCUAAAAGCCAGUUAAAGGAAAUCACUGAAAUUCAAUAAAAAGAAGCAUAAAGUGGCUUCAUCCCAUUAAACUAUUAUGGAAAUAAGUCACAGGAACCCCAGUAGCACAGCUCAAUUAGUUAAGCAUCCAAAAUGAUUGUUUGACAUAUUAGGAAGGGCUCAAGGAAUAAAAACAACUGGUGGCUGGUAACAUGAAAUUGCUGUAAUAUACCCAUUCCUCCAGUUUAAUCAGCUGAAAAAUAUAUCAGCAAAGCCAUCAAAUAAACAAAAAUGCCCCUUCUUAUUUCCAUCACUGAAUCGUUUGCACAUUGGGUUGAGUCUCCUAUCAGGAAAAUGUUAAACUAGUCCAUCGAAAUGUGAUAAAGUAAUGCUAGUUUUUCUUUGAGUGGAAAAGGGAAGUACACUUUGAAAUCUCAGAAGGGGUCUAAUAAGCUUGAAAAUCAUUUUGAAAUUAACUCUUUUGAUGCCAUCAAGCAAUGUAGUUGCAAGUUAACAGACUUUAAGCUCAAUCAGCAUCACUAUUUGCUAACUGCCAACAACAUACAAGCAUGGUCCCAAAAAGUUGAGGCAAUAGUCAUUUUUCUGUCAAAGAAGCUAGAGUUUUAGAAUUUGCAUCUGUAGCUUAUAUUUUCCAAUUAAUUGAACAUGUAUGUACAUGGGGUAGUGCACAAGUAAUUAUCCAAAUUACUGGGGUAAUGUAAACCCAACUCCAUCAACACUCUUCUUCUGGUCAGUAUGAUUAGAUUUUUAUCCUUUACCCCUACAAUUGAAGGAGCUAAAAUAAAUGAUUUACAAUGCAAUGUAACAAUGGGCAUUCAAGGAAUCCAAAAUUGAAGGAGCGGAAGGGGUGGAGAUUCUGAGCUUAAAUGUUCCCUGUUCAAUUAAACCAUAUGGUGGAACAAUCAUUCACAAUACUAGGCAAAUUUAAAAUAACGUAACGUCCACAGUGACGCAAUGUGAAAAAAUAUGCAUUCCACAGAAUACAAACAGCAAUUAUCAAAACAAAAGUGACCACCAAAUACAUCAACAAUAUAUACCUGCAGGAGAGGUUUGUCCAAAUUAAAAAUGGCCAACAACUCCUAAUGCAACGACCUCAUCAAUGGUAAUACUGGCUAUAACCCUCCAAGCUGCAUUAUUCAAAAGGUUAUUUGAUUGAAAACAGAAUCCCAAAACACAACCAGAAAGAAAUCACGUUUGGUGAAUAGGACAUUACACAUUAUCUGUUAGCUUACCACAAGAACGAACAAAAACUUAUAAAUGUUCUUAAAAAAAAUCGAGAUAAAACAAACAAAGGAACAGCGAGUCCUUAAAAGCACUGAACUUGGGAAUGAAGUGAUAAUGCAUAUAGCUCAUAAAAGUGAAAGACCUCCAGAAAAGCUGGGAAAAUUACAGUAUUUAAUAUUAGAGAGAACGCAAAACUCCCAGGCCAAUAAACUUAAAUUCUAUUUCACAAAUGCUACUCCAUGAGCUAUCGUCAUACUCCAAACUCAGUUUCAAGAAGGCAAUCUAAGAUACUAUGUUGUAAAAUUUGAUCGAACCCUUUAUCCGAGGUUAAACAAAAUGCUGAUCAGCAGUCUCAGAAACUAGGAACAAAUAUGACAUUUACUACCCCUUGCUCAACUAUUUGGUACACCAUCAUCUCCAAUUAAACCCAAAAAUUAAUUCAAAAAGCCACACUUAUUCUGGUUACACAGGAACAAAUUUGGCAUUUACUACAUAAAAUUCACUACCAAAAUGAUCGGAACAUAAAAACAUUUCCAAAUACUAGUCUAUUUUCUCAAUUCACACAACUUAACAAAUUCAUAACAUUCCAUUAUAUAUCCUUUGCCUAGUCAAUCAUUCCGACAAUCUUAAUAAACAAAAGAGAGAAAAUCAUGAACUAAAAAGGAAGAAGAAGAAGAAGAGCAGCCAAACUUAAACCUGAACUGCAAAAAUACCAAAAAAUAAAUAAAUCAGCAAAAUCAAUAACAAUAAAUUCCAAAAUAUAUCAGUUUCAAAAGAAAAAUACAUCAGGAAUGUAAUCUAAUCAAAGUCCAAAGUCCAAGCAACCAAAAAAUUAAUUCAGAACAAGUUCAAGCAACACAAAAGGGGGAAAAAACUACAUACCAGCGAAACCACCAGCAGGAGCAGCAAUCACGAAGAAGAAAUCGGUUUACUGUUCUCUUAUAUAUAUAUAUAUUAUCCUCUUAACAACUCAAUUGCGAUAAGCAUGUGCAUGCAUUGGUAAUAAUUGAGGACAUACAGCUACAACUACAACUGCGAUUAUUUAUAUAUAAUUACGAAAAAAUGAAGAGAGAGAGAGAGCAAUUAGCAAUCAAUUUUUUUUUUUCAACCGAUAACAGAUUUCCACUAAAAUCAUAAAAUGUUUACAUCACUUGGAGCAACUGCUCCUACAUCAAUGUUGGCUAACCGAAGCAGCCAGCUAGGAAAGGAAAAUCUCCAAUCUAUAUCAGCAACUAAGUUUAAGGCAAACCUUGCCAAAGAAUGAGACACCACAUUGCCAUUCCGUCUGACAAAAGAGAAAGUGCAAUUCCGAAACUCUUUCCUCAGAUGCAGGAUGUCAAAUAACACAGCACUGGCCCGAGGAUCCUCCACCUUUUCCAAUUUGAUCUUCUCAACCACACUUUUACAAUCGGAUUGUAAAAUUAUGUCCCUCCACCCAUUCUUCAUGGCUAUGGCCAUUCUUCAUGGCUAUGGACAUACCCUUCCUAAUAGCUCUAGCUUCCUCCACCGCAGGAUCCCCACACCUUUGUUCGCUCCCUGCCCAGGCUCCUAGUAGAAUUAGCAAUCAAUUGAAGUAGAAGAAUAGAGAAGAACCUCGGACCCUUGGUCUUUAGGUGGGGCUAGCUACUCUCUCUCUCUCUCUAUCAAUGAAACAUCU